AGAUUGAACGCUGGCGGCAGGCCUAACACAUGCAAGUCGAGCGGCAGCACGGGAAGCUUGCUUCCUGGUGGCGAGCGGCGGACGGGUGAGUAAUGCAUAGGAAUCUGCCCGGUAGUGGGGGAUAACCUGGGGAAACCCAGGCUAAUACCGCAUACGUCCUACGGGAGAAAGCAGGGGACCUUCGGGCCUUGCGCUAUCGGAUGAGCCUAUGUCGGAUUAGCUGGUUGGUGAGGUAACGGCUCACCGAAGGCGACGAUCCGUAGCUGGUCUGAGAGGAUGAUCAGCCACACUGGAACUGAGACACGGUCCAGACU
rnacentral:rRNA from 1 species